rnacentral:rRNA from 1 species
AGUAUGUGGUUUAAUUCGAUGCAACGCGAAGAACCUUACCUGGUCUUGACAUCCGGAGACCCUUAGGAAACUAGGGGUGCUUCCAUCUGGAAGAAUCUGGAGACAGGUGCUGCAUGGCUGUCGUCAGCUCGUGUCGUGAGAUGUUGGGUUAAGUCCCGCAACGAGCGCAACCCUUGUCUUAUGUUGCCAGCACGUGAUGGUGGGGACUCAUGAGAGACUGCCGGGGUUAACUCGGAGGAAGGUGGGGAUGACGUCAAAUCAUCAUGCCCCUUAUGUCCAGGGCUUCACACAUGCUACAAUGGUCGGUACAACGCGUGUGCGACACUGUGAGGUGAAGCUAAUCGCUCUAAAGCCGGUCGUAGUUCGGAUUGGGGUCUGCAACUCGACCCCAUGAAGUCGGAGUCGCUAGUAAUCGCAGAUCAGCAACGCUGCGGUGAAUACGUUCCCGGGCCUU